GACAUGGUAAAGAUGUAGGUGAGGCAACGAUGUCAUGAUGGAUUUGAUUGAUUGCUGAUUGCAUUACAUCCAGUGGCAAAUAUUGCAUGCAUGUUCAGGACAAAAACAAAUUAACAAAAAGUGCAAUCAUUAGGUCCUGUGAUAGCGAACGUCCAAGAAGAAGUUGGAGAAAUAAGGACUGCCACUGGAAAGUCAGGGGGUC
rnacentral:lncRNA from 1 species